UGCAUUCACUACUGUAAGUCGCUCUGGAUAAGAGCGUCUGUUAAUGACUCAAA
rfam:Salmo salar isolate Sally breed double haploid chromosome ssa01, whole genome shotgun sequence.